GACCGCAUAGCGCAGUGGAUUAGCGCGUCUGACUUCGGAUCAGAAGGUCGUGGGUUCGACUCCCACUGUGACUCCCACUGUGGUCG